rnacentral:misc_RNA from 1 species
UUUCCGUAGGUGAACCUGCGGAAGGAUCAUUACCGAGUGAGGGUCUCUCAGGCCCGACCUCCCACCCUGUGUCUUUGUGACCUUGUUGCUCUGGCGGGCCGGCCUCGAUGGGAGGCUGCCGGAAGCCCACCGCUUUGUGCCCGUGCCCGUCAGUAGCCUCCUUAAAUUCUUCAUAAAACUGUCUUCUGAUUUAAUGGAUAUAAUGAAAAAAAACUUUCAACAACGGAUCUCUUGGUUCUG